GGCGGCGUGCCUAAUACAUGCAAGUCGAACGCACUGACGUCGACAGAAGGUGCUUGCACUGGAAGUUGAUUGACGUGAGUGGCGGACGGGUGAGUAACACGUGGGUAACCUGCCCUUAAGCGGGGGAUAACAUUUGGAAACAGAUGCUAAUACCGCAUAAAAGUUGAGAUCACAUGGUCUUAAUUUGAAAGACGGCCUUUGGCUGUCACUUAAGGAUGGACCCGCGGCGUAUUAGCUAGUUGGUGAGAUAAUAGCCCACCAAGGCGAUGAUACGUAGCCGACCUGAGAGGGUAAUCGGCCACAUUGGGACUGAGACACGGCCCAAACUCCUACGGGAGGCAGCAGUAGGGAAUCUUCCACAAUGGACGAAAGUCUGAUGGAGCAACGCCGCGUGAGUGAAGAAGGUUUUCGGAUCGUAAAACUCUGUUGUUGGAGAAGAACAGGGACUAGAGUAACUGUUAGUCCUUUGACGGUAUCCAACCAGAAAGCCACGGCUAACUACGUGCCAGCAGCCGCGGUAAUACGUAGGUGGCAAGCGUUGUCCGGAUUUAUUGGGCGUAAAGCGAGCGCAGGCGGUUUCUUAAGUCUGAUGUGAAAGCCUUCGGCUUAACCGAAGAAGUGCAUCAGAUACUGGGAAACUUGAGUGCAGAAGAGGAAAGUGGAACUCCAUGUGUAGCGGUGAAGUGCGUAGAUAUAUGGAAGAACACCAGUGGCGAAGGCGGCUUUCUGGUCUGUAACUGACGCUGAGGCUCGAAAGUAUGGGGAGCGAACAGGAUUAGAUACCCUGGUAGUCCAUACCGUAAACGAUGAAUGCUAAGUGUUGGAGGGUUUCCGCCCUUCAGUGCUGCAGCUAACGCAUUAAGCAUUCCGCCUGGGGAGUACGACCGCAAGGUUGAAACUCAAAGGAAUUGACGGGGGCCCGCACAAGCGGUGGAGCAUGUGGUUUAAUUCGAAGCUACGCGAAGAACCUUACCAGGUCUUGACAUCUAGCGCCAAUCCUAGAGAUAGGACGUUCCCUUCGGGGACGCUAAGACAGGUGGUGCAUGGUUGUCGUCAGCUCGUGUCGUGAGAUGUUGGGUUAAGUCCCGCAACGAGCGCAACCCUUAUGAUUAGUUGCCAGCAUUUAGUUGGGCACUCUAACCAGACUGCCGGUGACAAACCGGAGGAAGGUGGGGA
rnacentral:rRNA from 1 species